GAAGAACAACGUAAGAGUGAAACUGUUGAAACAUCGAGCCUUAUUUCUUUUACUCACCAACGUUCCGCACUUAAAAAUGAUAACCAGUACAAAAGAUGAAACUAAACUUUAUGAUGUUGGUGACCCCAACCCGAAUCCUAGAGCACGAGCAUUCUACGUCUCCACGUUCCUGUCAGGUAUAUAAUGAAGAGCAGUUGCUCCAGGUCGUCAGUUAUUUCAAGUCAUCGAUCUUCCAGAGUCACUUGUGAUCGUCAAUAUUUGUCUACUCAGUAAUGAAGACCACCGGAAACUGUAUUUUCCUGCUGAUUUUCAUGGCGACUCUGGUGAUGGCACAAAGGGUUCCUGGUGACUUCCAAGCACCGAGAUUCGGCUUUAAUGGUAUGGAUAUUAAUACCUGGAUGAACAAAUUUUGCACACAUUUCUGCGAUCCCUCGAUGUCAGUGGCCCUCAGGACAUUCUCCCUGUGUUCUAUCAAAUGUCCCACCACUACAACAACUGAAAAAUCAUCUACAUCCGAUACAAAGGCCACAACUCCCCCAGCUUCUAGCUCGACAUCAUCAGACGUCCCGGUGACCCCUUCAACGACUAUGCCGAGUGUUUUACGAGAAUCGAACAAUGGAGGUACGGUCAUUGUUGUCGAUAAGUCGACUCCAAAGGCAGCAAGUAAGACUUAAGAUUUUUUGACGAUUUUUGGAGGCUCGAGGUUCUAUUAGAUUCUCAGAAGAAAAUAAAUUUGUAAUGUAAAUUA